AUACGUAGGGGGCGAGCGUUGUCCGGAAUGAUUGGGCGUAAAGGGCGCGUAGGCGGCGCGGUAAGUCUGGAGUGAAAGUCCUGCUUUCAAGGUGGGAAUUGCUUUGGAUACUGCCGCGCUUGAGUGCAGGAGAGGUUAUCGGAAUUCCCGGUGUAGCGGUGAAAUGCGUAGAGAUCGGGAGGAACACCAGUGGCGAAGGCGGGUAACUGGACUGCAACUGACGCUGAGGCGCGAAAGUGUGGGGAGCAAACAGGAUUAGAUACCCUGGUAGUCCACACUGUAAACGAUGAAUGCUAGGUGUAAGAGGUAUCGACCCCUUUUGUGCCGGAGUCAACACAAUAAGCAUUCCGCCUGGGGAGUACGGCCGCAAGGUUGAGACUCAAAGGAAUUGACGGGG
rnacentral:rRNA from 1 species